GAUGAAGAACGCAGCGAAAUGCGAUAAGUAAUGUGAAUUGCAGAAUUCAGUGAAUCAUCGAAUCUUUGAACGCACAUUGCGCCCCUUGGUAUUCCGAGGGGCAUGCCUGUUCGAGCGUCAUUAUAACCCCUCAAGCUUAGCUUGGUGUUGGGGCCUGCUGUAAUAGAGCAGCCCUUAAAAUCAGUGGCGGUGCCAUUAGGCUCUAAGCGUAGUAAUUCUUCUCGCUAUAGGGUUCUGGUGGAUGCUUGCCAUUAACCUCUAAUUUUCUAUGGUUGACCUCGGAUCAGGUAGGGAUACCCGCUGAACUUAAGCAUAUCAUAAGCGGAGGA
rnacentral:misc_RNA from 1 species